GUGUCUAAACCCCUAAACAACGGAAUUGUGUACGGAUACACGUGUACUUAAAACAGCCUGGUGUGUGUAGAGCACUUGCUGUAUGUCAACGCUUUACGGGAGUUACUGCACCUAAGCCUCAGAACAACUUUAUGAGGAUGCAGACUUACAAGUGGAUUUUCCAGUAGGAUCUUAUAGCCAGCCUAUUUUUCUUGUUUUUGGCUAAUUUCUAACAGGCUUAUUAAUGUGUAUUAGCUAUUCUAUCCUGCAUGGGAAUCAGAAAAUUGGACAGUGUUGUAGGUACUUAAUGAUGUAGGCAUGCUGAUAGCCACAAAGUGAGAAUUGACUGCACUACAAAAGAUGUUAAAGAAAGUAAUCCAGAUGGAAGGGAAAUGAUAUUAGAUGGAAAUACAGAUCUACAUAAAGGAAUGAUGAACACUGGAAAAGGUAAUUCCACAAGAAAAGACAGCAUGUUUCUACAGAGAUCUGUACAUGAAUAUUCAUAGUAGCUUUAUAUUUAACAGUCUCCAAUUUGAAACAACUCAAAUGUCACCAACAGAUAAAUGGAUAAAUUGUGAUAUAGUCAUAUAAUGGAAUAC